rnacentral:lncRNA from 1 species
AGUAAUAAGUCGUUAAGGAAUAUGUUUAAUGUUGUCCUUAUGUUAUAUAAAGUUAUUUAUUUAUUUCUAUUCUAUUUAUUUCUACAUAUAGAUGUAGUUGUUCUGAAUCACAUAACGUUGAUCUACCGUUAUCAGGAGUAGGCUUUGACCGUUACAUCGCAGUCUCACAAAGUAACGUUAAUGUUGAUGGCCAACCAAUUAUUUGAGUUCAAAUCUCAAUUUAUUUUAAUUUUUUGUCUGUUGUUAGAUUGAUCAACACUUCAACACUAUUCACGAGGUUGUAAAAAUGUCUGAAGAACAAAAAGCUUUCGAAGCCUUCGCGAAUGAGAAGCUGGUUGCGAUUGCCGAAGAGAUCAAUGCGGUGUACGAGAAGAAGAUUGCGGGGUACCAGGAGAAACUGCGUCUUUCCAAAGAGGAAGGCCAGAGGAUACAGCGACUCUUUGACAUUAUCCAAGGGCCGAAGAUCCUGGAGGUCCGAGGAGGUGUCCACAUCCCCGAUCUGAAAUGGGAAUUCCCAGAAACUCCACGGAUCAAAGUGGAGCUAGAACAGAGCAUCAAACAGGAGGAAUCAGAGCUUUCCCCAAAGCUCAGAGCUGUGAAGACGGAAGGGGCCCCAGGAGCUGUGAAGACUGAAGGGGACGCAGGAGCUGUGAAGACUGAAGGGACCCCACAGAACAUCAGCACACAGCCACAUGUCCUGUCAGAGAGUGAGGAAGACACUGAGAACAGUUCUGACGCUGAUCCUGAUGAGGUCUGGGAACCUAGAUUCCGCAGUGGAAGAUGGAAACAGUGGCUGACGGAGCCCGUUACACCCUCUUAUACCACAAAAGACAGUCUCAAGUAAACAAGACUCCAUGAAGCUGAGAGAAAGAACUGCUGAUGAUCAUAUUGAGUCAAAGUAAAAAUAAUUUGAGUUAAAUUUACAGUUCAAAUUAAAAUGAAAAGAAUAAAAUACAAUCUACAACUUUAAAGUAACAAAAGAACAAAAAAUAGUUAGGCAAAAUGUACAUUGUUCAGUGUUUGCAGACUAGAAUAGGCUAUUUAUUAUUCAUUUUUUCAUGUUGUAUACUUUGUUCGCAGCUUGUCAAUAAAAUUGUCUGAAAAC